rnacentral:rRNA from 1 species
ACAGAGGGUGCAAACGUUGUUCGGAAUUACUGGGCGUAAAGCGCGUGUAGGCGGCUAAGCAAGUCGGGUGUGAAAGCCCUUGGCUCAACUGAGGAAGAGCACUCGAAACUGCGUAGCUUGAGUUCUGGAGAGGAUGGUGGAAUUCUCGGUGUAGAGGUGAAAUGCACAGAUAUCGAGAGGAACACCAGUGGGGAAGGCGGCUAACUGGAAUGAAACUGACGCUGAGUCGCGAAAGCGAGGGUAGCUAACAG